ACUCCUACGGGAGGCAGCAGUGGGGAAUAUUGCACAAUGGGGGAAACCCUGAUGCAGCCAUGCCGCGUGUGUGAAGAAGGCCUUCGGGUUGUAAAGCACUUUCAGUAGGGAGGAAGGUAGUNUAGUUAACAUACCUGCAUUUAUUUGACGUUUACCUACAGAAGAAGCACCGGCUAACUCCGUGCCAGCAGCCGCGGUAAUACGGAGGGUGCGAGCGUUAAUCGGAAUUACUGGGCGUAAAGCGCAUGCAGG
rnacentral:rRNA from 1 species